UACGAAGGGGGCUAGCGUUGUUCGGAAUUACUGGGCGUAAAGCGCACGUAGGCGGAUAUUUAAGUCAGGGGUGAAAUCCCGGGGCUCAACCCCGGAACGGCCUUUGAUACUGGAUGUCUUGAGUCCGGAAGAGGUGAGUGGAAUUGCGAGUGUAGAGGUGAAAUUCGUAGAUAUUCGCAGGAACACCAGUGGCGAAGGCGGCUCACUGGUCCGGAACUGACGCUGAGGUGCGAAAGCGUGGGGAGCAAACAGGG
rnacentral:rRNA from 1 species